rnacentral:tRNA from 1 species
CAAGAUGUAGCUUAAUUAAAGCAUCUCGCUUACACCGAGAAAAUAUCCAUUAAACCUGGGUUGUCUUGA